AGACCGAUAGCGAACAAGUACCGUGAGGGAAAGAUGAAAAGCACUUUGGAAAGAGAGUUAACAGUACGUGAAAUUGUUGGAAGGGAAACGAUUGAAGUCAGACUUGUUAUCUGGAGUUCAGCCUUUAGGUGUACUCUCCAGUUUACAGGCCAGCAUCAGUUUUUGGGGCGGGAAAAUCGUAAUUAGAAGGUAGCAGCCUAGCUGUGUUAUAGCUUUUUACUGGAUUCCGCUUCGGGGACUGAGGAAUGCAGUGUGCUUUUAGCAAUACCCUCGGGUAUUUCACACUUAGGAUGCUGGUGGAAUGGCUUUAAACGACCCGUCUUGAAACACGGACCAAG
rnacentral:rRNA from 1 species